AUGCCUACUUCUCCGAUCGCGGUGCUCAUCAACAGUGUUUCAUCACCGUCUUCGCCUUAUCCUCACCAUAUGCGGUUCUGUUUCAAUUGUGACUCAAACUUCUUCACGCUUCAGUCGUGGUUCGAGUUCCAGCUUCACCAGAAUGCUUACCUACCGGAGUGGUUCCAGCUACUCUUCGAUGCGGAAAAGAUGAGAAAUCUGAAAGAUAAACUCAGAGAUGAAGAGGAUUGUUGA